CAGCCAUCUCCCUGCUUGCUGAAGUAGAGAAAUAACUUGUUUCAUAGGGUUUAGGUUUUCUCAUUGCCAGAGAGGGUUACUGGCAGAAGGGCAGGGAUUGUUUUGGGACUAAGGUACGUCCCUUCCUUUGUUCUCAGGGAGGCACUUCAGGUUACCUGAACUGGAAGCCAUUUAUCCUCCUCAGAGGCCUGUAGUGGCUCAGCUGCUCUGGCCACUGUAUGAAAGGCUGACUCCUGGCUUUGGACACAGAUUUCUGUAGUGCCUUUCACAUGAGUAGAGACCUAAGCAGGAAGGAACAUGCACUGUUACUAAAUCAGUUUUGCAGGAGAAUGACUGAGAUGACCAUGUACAGCCCUAGGAUUACUGGAGCCCCAGAAGAAAACGUCAUCCUAAGAUCUUACAGGAUUCCUGCCAUUCAGGCUCAGUCUCAUCAGAUUUCUGCAGCAUGCUCUGGCUCUCCAAACUUGCACCUCUCUG